AUUCUACUCCCUCCGUUGCACAAUACAUGCCUUCUAUUUGUCAAAAUAUAUAUGUAUCUAGACAUGUUUUAGUGUAUCGGUACAUCCAUUUUGGACAAAUGGAAGUCAAGUAUUUUUGGAACGGAGGGAGUACACA
rfam:Triticum urartu cultivar G1812 contig1075677, whole genome shotgun sequence.